rnacentral:rRNA from 1 species
AGCGAACGCUGGCGGCAGGCUUAACACAUGCAAGUCGAGCGGGCAUCCUUGUGGUGUCAGCGGCAGACGGGUGAGUAACGCGUGGGAACGUGCCCUUCGGUUCGGAAUAACUCAGGGAAACUUGAGCUAAUACCGGAUACGUGCGAGAGCAGAAAGGUUUAUCUGCCGAAGGAUCGGCCCGCGUCUGAUUAGCUAGUUGGUGAGGUUACGGCUCACCAAGGCGACGAUCAGUAGCUGGUCUGAGAGGAUGAUCAGCCACACUGGGACUGAGACACGGCCCAGACUCCUAUGGGAGGCAGCAGUGGGGAAUAUUGGACAAUGGGGGCAACCCUGAUCCAGCCAUGCCGCGUGAGUGAUGACGGCCUUAGGGUUGUAAAGCUCUUUUCUCCGGGACGAUAAUGACGGUACCGGAGGAAUAAGCCCCGGCUAACUUCGUG